rnacentral:rRNA from 1 species
UACGUAGGGUGCGAGCGUUAAUCGGAAUUACUGGGCGUAAAGCGUGCGCAGGCGGUGAUGUAAGACAGUUGUGAAAUCCCCGGGCUCAACCUGGGAACUGCAUUUGUGACUGCAAGGCUGGAGUGCGGCAGAGGGGGAUGGAAUUCCGCGUGUAGCAGUGAAAUGCGUAGAUAUGCGGAGGAACACCGAUGGCGAAGGCAAUCCCCUGGGCCUGCACUGACGCUCAUGCACGAAAGCGUGGGGAGCAAACAGG